UUUCCGUAGGUGAACCUGCGGAAGGAUCAUUAGUCAAUUGAAUAUGUUAGCGGACCUCUUCGUAGUCCCUAGCAUCAAAUCAUAUCCAUAACCCCUGUGAACUGUAAGGCUGUCUAGAAAACGAAAGUGAUUAGAGCGCCUGCCCAUUUUAUACAAACCUUAACGUAACAAACGUAGUCUUAUUAUAAUCUAAUAAAACUUUCAACAACGGAUCUCUUGGCUCUC
rnacentral:misc_RNA from 1 species